UUCACUCUCGCGCAUGAGCCAAUGGUCUCAGAGGUUCAGAUUUCUGUAGACUAAUAAAGAAAUGAAGCAGCAGCAGAGUAAGUGGCCUGAGGGUGAUCCUCCUCCCGCUCCAUCCUCCACCGUGUGCAGAUACAUUAUACUCUGCACCAUCUUGGCGUUUCUCAUCAUCUGUACGUUUGUGGGGGUUGUGAUGGCGUACACGGUACAGAAGGAGCAUUACUUCAUGGACACGGUGGAGUUAAAAGGCCUGCAGUACAAAGCUGACCUCAAGGAUAAAAUGUCUGCAUUUUUUUUAAUCCUUACAGCCACUUUGGAAACAAAGGUAGGAGCAGGGCAAAG
ensembl:lncRNA